UCUCUGAAGGCAGUCACUGAGCCAUACUGAGCUCAUGAAACAAUUCUAUUUGGAAAUACAGCUACAACACAGACACUGGCAACACAGUCAGCAAUUACAUUCUGCACAAAGCAAGUCUGAAGCACAGUAUCUAUGCCAUAGGUAGGUUGUAAAAAUAUUUUCUAUUGAUUUAAGUCUCACUUUUUCUUUUACAGAACAUGCAAUGCCAAAAUGCCAAUUGCUUAAGGGAUCAUUCCUCUUCCUCUUCACAUUCCAAGAUGAAAACCUUCAGCAGCAAACAAGCAUGGCCAAUGCAGAGAAAUAGACCGCACAUCCACAUCUUUUAAAGGAUCCAGAACCCAGCUUCUCCUCACUCCAGCUCAUUCCUGCAGGACCGAGACCACCACCACCAAGUAGUCAUCACCACCCAGGAGCCACUGUGUGUCCCAUGGCAAAGACCACUUCACCGUGGAGUGGCUACUCCCUCACAGCCCCACUCGGGAGGAGUCGGCAAGGGGAACAGGGGGACUUAGCCUCCCAUCCCACUCAUGGGGCAGAGGGAGUCUCAAAGGGGGCAGGGGAGGGCUGAGGGAGGAGCCUCAAGGGGGUGAGGGGAGUGUCGAGGGAGGGGCCAAGGGUGCAGGGGAGUGGCCCCAAUGUGGCAGGGGAGGGCCGAGGGAGUGGUCCCAAGGGAUCAAAAAAAAAAAAAAAGACACUGACAUGCCCACCCCCCCACCGAAAAAAAAAAAAAAUCCCUUUAGAGAUAGUGCAAAACCCAGAGCCUGGCCCCAAUAGAAAUUAUUUUUUAGAAUAUUAUACAUAUAUAAGUCCACACUCUGGGUGAGUUAAAUUCCACACAAGAAAAAAAAAAAAAAAACC